UUGAAUAAAACAUAACAUGUACUAUGCAUAAAACGUAUAACUUACUAGCAUUGUAUUAUGCAGGAAGAGUCUAUAUGGUGAUGAAGUUUUAUCCCUCUUCUUCUCUUCAAGGAUUAGUACAUCCACAAAUGCAUCAAUCCCGUUUGAUGCUACAUAUUGAUUUUUAUAGAAGCUUUCGAAGAUUAUUUUCAAACAUGUAUCUAAGUAGACUGAAUUCACGAUCCAGAAGUGGUUCACUUAAAGUAACCAAUCUGUUGCAGUAAGGGGAACAAAAUGCACCACCAGAAGGACUUGGUGUUCCAACCUCCCAUAACAACAACUCCCUCGCGGAUUCACAAAUGGAAAGCUUGCAAAACCGUUGAGGAUGAUGAUGCUAUGAAAUGAAGUAGUGAUGAUGCUUAGAUACACAUUUAGACGUAUUAGGUUUAAAAUGUUGUAUCAAUUUUGGUUUUUGUUAUGUU